rnacentral:rRNA from 1 species
AUUGAACGCUGGCGGCAGGCCUAACACAUGCAAGUCGAGCGGCAGCGCGGGGCAACCUGGCGGCGAGCGGCGGACGGGUGAGUAACGCGUAGGAAUCUACCCAGUAGCGGGGGAUAGCCCGGGGAAACUCGGAUUAAUACCGCAUACGCCCUAAGGGGGAAAGCAGGGGAUCUUCGGACCUUGCACUAUUGGCAGAGCCUGCGUUGGAUUAGCUAGUUGGUAGGGUAAAGGCCUACCAAGGCGACGAUCCAUAACUGGUCUGAGAGGAUGAUCAGUCACACCGGAACUGAGACACGGUCCGGACUCCUACGGGAGGCAGCAGUGGGGAAUAUUGGACAAUGGGGGCAACCCUGAUCCAGCCAUGCCGCGUGUGUGAAGAAGGCCUUGGUGUAAGCACUUUGUCUAGGAACGAAACGGUUAGG